UGCUUGUAUGUGUCUCAAUUAUGUAUAAUUUCAGACAAAAUACUGUACUACUACAAUCAGUUACACAAUUCUGUCCAAGAACCUGUUGAUGUUGCUACCAUCGACCUUCAAACACAAACAUAGUCAAAUAUUUUAUCAUUUUAUUCACACAUAACAAUGUGUAAAUGACAUGGAUGUAUUUCAUAAUAACAGAGGUACCAGAGUAUCACCAUGUAUGAGCUUUAACAAAACAAUAUUCCAUUGUUUGCCAGGUUUGGUAAAUACUGAAUAUAAAAAUAAAACCUUUAAAUAUAAUUGUUCAGGCCUUGCACAAAGUUGUGCUCUGAAAAUAUUCACAUCUUUUUAACAUUAAUAAUAUGUAAAGUUGCAUUUAACCAGCAGCAGUAGCAUUACUUCAGUUUUAUUGCCAGAAAAACUAGUAUGUUAGAGUGAUAGAAAAAACACUCUGGUAGCCCAUGGUGUGUAAAACAGAAAGUUUAUGAAAAAAAAA